UGGGGAAUAUUGGGCAAUGGGCGCAAGCCUGACCCAGCAACGCCGCGUGAAGGAAGAAGGCCCUCGGGUUGUAAACUUCUUUUAUCAGGGACGAAGAAAGUGACGGUACCUGAUGAAUAAGCCACGGCUAACUACGUGCCAGCAGCCGCGGUAAUACGUAGGUGGCAAGCGUUAUCCGGAUUUACUGGGUGUAAAGGGCGUGUAGGCGGGACUGCAAGUCAGAUGUGAAAACCAUGGGCUCAACCCAUGGCCUGCAUUUGAAACUGUAGUUCUUGAGUGUUGGAGAGGCAGGCGGAAUUCCGUGUGUAGCGGUGAAAUGCGUAGAUAUACGGAGGAACACCAGUGGCGAAGGCGGCUUACUGGACGGUAACUGACGUUGAGGCUCGAAAGCGUGGGGAGCAAACAGGAUUAGAUACC
rnacentral:rRNA from 1 species